rnacentral:rRNA from 1 species
CCUGCUCAAUGACAUAAAUAGCCGCAGCUCAACUGUGCUAAGGUAGCAUAAUCAUUAGCCUAAUAAUUAUAGGAUAGAAUGAAAGGCAUCACGCGUAAAUCACAUCUCACUAAUACAACCUUAAACUAAUAUUUAAGUAAAAAAGCCUAAAUAAAAAUAAAGGACGACAAGACCCUGUCAAACUUAACUCAACAAGUUAAACUGGGGCGGUAAAUAAAACAAACCUUAAUUACAAAUCUUCUUCACCCCCUAAAAAAUUAUACAAAAAGUUACUGCAGGGAUAACAGCGCAAUAAAUUUCAAAAGACCCUAUCCAAAAAUUUCAUUACGACCUCGAUGUUGAAUUAAUACCCUUUUCAGAGCAACCACUAAAAAAGGAAGUCUGUUCGACUUGUAAAAAAUUACGU